AUUUUUACUGCAAAAGGAAGAUCCCUCUUUUGAUAUUUACUACAUAAGCCGCCUCUAAACCUUUCUUCUCUCUUCCUCAUAUCUGAACGCUUCUAUUUUUCUGGAAGGUAAGAGAUGCCAUGGUUAUCGAUGCCAGCAAAAAGUUCUGAAUAAGGUACAUCCUGAUUCUCUUUCGAAUCAAUAUGAUUUUGAAUCGAUCUUAUAUUUAUGCUGUUUUAAGGGAUCUGUUAAAUCACAAUUUGUAUUCAAAGAAACUUAAAUCUGGGUCGAUAUUCUGCAUGAUGAUCCGGUUUUAUUCAAUCGAUCCGAAUGCGAAGUUGGAUGGAUUUUUCAAAGUACAUGGUGUUACUAAGAUAUGUUCGGCCGUGAUUUCUCUGUUCAAAGAAUUUGGUAUGUUUGGAUUUUCAUCUAUGCCUUAUCCCGAGCAUAGAGACCCUUCAUUCUAUGCGAUAAAACAUAACGUUUUAAUUGUUCUUAAGAAUGACAAACAAGUAGAUCAUAACUAUAUUAUUUUGGAUUGUGAAUUGUUCAAGAAGUUGAAAAUCCAUCGAAGCUGGGCAAAGAUAUUGCAAUAAGAAAAUAGAAUACCCAUUGAAGCUGUCCAAAAAUUUAAAUUUUGAUAGUUUGUAUGACAUGUUUUAAAGCUUUUUUAUCUGUGGACAAAAUGAUAAUUUAAUUAUAGAUGAUAGAUGUAUUUUGCUUAUACUAUGUUUUCAAACUAUCCUAUUAUAGAAUGAUAGACAAUGCUUUGAAACGUUUCUAUUUGUAAGUACCAUCCAUCAAAACUAUAAUUGGCAAACGUAUUUAUGAUUCUUUCACUAAUUGAUUUUAUUGUGGUAUAGGGAGCAUGGAACUCAUGUGAAAAUUUGGGAGUAAUUGUAAAUAAAGUUUCAUAUAUGUAUUCUUAGAUGGUCUUGUGCAAAAAAAGUAAUUACUUAAGUUGUUUCAUAUAAUUAGGGUGUUCAUAUCCAUAUAAUUAUAGGUUUACAAUCCUUCUGUUUGUUUGUUUCUUUGAACCAAUAUAUUGGAAAAGGGAAAAAAAGAGAGAUUUGUUGCAGGACUAUUAUAUAAUUUAUUUAUUUUUAUAAUUUUAAUCCAAUGUUGCAAUUAAACCAAAGUGUUUAGUCCUCUUUUAUUAAGUUUUUUAUUUUUUAAAAUGUUGCUUUUUUAAAACUAAAAUUUGGAAUGAAGUGUUAUUAAAAAAAAUGGAAUGAAGUAGUUUUUCUUUCCUUCUUGAUGCAAAGAUAGCAAUUUGUUGCCCAAUCUUUAAUAUAAAACUGCCUCCUACUUGCAAGAUAAGUCGAUAUAUAGAAUUUUUGUAGAUUAAAAAUACUCUUCAGUGUUUUUGUUUCCCAUUCAGUGUUCUGGAAUUGCUACUCUAAUAUAAAGCUUCCUAGGUAGGUACUAAGCAGAGAAUAUUUUACUGAUGUUACCUAUCAAUACGGGAUAAAUAAUUUUUUUGGUCACUGUACUAGGGUCCGGUUUUUAUUGUGGUUAUCAAAAUUUUUUUUGUUACAAUCGAAUAACUGUACUUUCAAAAAUUUACCAAAUAGUCAUUCCUUAUGAAUUCCGUCCAAAAAACGGACGGGAAGUGCUGAGUUGGCGAUUUGACUCCGUUUUUUUUGCUAAUAUGUAUAUAGUUUUGCCAUGUAUAUCAUUAUGUGUCAAGCACAUGCUCAUAAAUAUUAAGAAUAAUUGUAUCUUAAUAAUAAUUUUAAAAUAAUAAUAAUAAAAAUAAUAUUAUUAAGAAUAAUAAAAAUAAUAAUAAUAAUUUUAAGAAUAAUAAUAAUUUCAAAAUAAUAAUAAUAACAAUAAUAAUAAUAAUAAUUUUUAAUUAAUAAAAAUAAUAAUAAUUACAAAAUAAUAAUAAUAAUUUCAUAAUAAUAAUUUGCUAUCUGUCUAUUUCACAAUAGAUUGAUUCGCUAAUUCAUGUCCCAGGAAAUACUUCCCCAAAACAAAUCAUCGCCCAAAUUUUAUCAAGUUAUCAUACUAACGACUCAAUUUCAAUUCAUUAAGGUUUUCUGGUUUAGAAGAAUGACAAUAUCAAAUCAACAAUUAAUAAUAAUAAUAAUAAUAAUAUUUUCAAAAUAAUAAUAGUAAUAAUUUAAAUACAUGUGAAAUACAAGCUCCACUAAAAUAAUUUACUGAAAUAAUUUUCAAUUUUCAAAUAUAUUACAUAUAUAUUAUUAAAAUACAAAACCAAAAUUAAAUUUUAAUAAACUAAUUUCAAAAAAAUGACUAACAAUUCUGAAAAUACCAUCCGAGUUAGAAAUUCAAACUUUAAAUAUAUAACUAAUAAUUCUGAAAUUUAAUUAUUAUCCUAAAUUUUAAAAACUAAAAUUAUUAUUAUAUUACAAAAUCAUUGAAUCGAUUAGCCAUAAACAAAUCAUUCCCAAACAAACAACCAAUUAAAGAUGGAAGUUCCAUCACCAAAUUCUUUCCAAACAAAGUGAAAUCUAGUAAAAUCAAUGGAAGCUUCAUUGUCAAAGACCAGAUCUAUGCCGCCAUAUUCUUCUUUCAUAAAUUGCAAUAGAAAUAGUAAUUUCAAAUAUUCGAUAUAUAACAAGAAAUUCUUCAAUUAAUUAAAAGAAAUUAAAAAAAAAAUUCAAAGGUUCAUUCCCAAACAUUUAAUGGGGAUAUGAAAUUCAUUCAAAUCAAAAUCCAAUAUCCAAAAUUUCAUUCUAACGCUCCACCUCGCUCGUCUGAAUCUACACGCACGUCGUUCCUUUUUACCCUCGAGCCCACAUCUCCGCCAUUUCCGUCGGCUCAGACGUCGUUCCCUUUGGCUAUUCCGGUUGGGACGGGUAAGCAAUCAACAAUUGGUUUCUUCUUUAAUUUUCAAUCGGUGGUGGUAUUCUUUGAAUAAUAGUGAUGUUUGUGUAUAGAAGUGAAAAGAAAGGAGAUUAGGAUUGUCCUGAGUAUGAAGAUGAACUUUUUAAAGAAGAUGAACACUUCAUUUUUUUUUAUUUAAAAAAAAUUGUACUAAAUAAAAUUUAGUCUAUUUACUUUAAAUUCAUAUUUUUUGUAUUUUAUUGUUUCACAUUUGGGCAUAAGAUUUUACUAAUUAUCAUGCAGUCUUAAGUAAUUUUUUAUUUUAAUACCCUUUUUUUACAUUUCAUGUAUUUAUUUUGAAUUUUCAACAAAUUAAUAUUUGGUUUUAAAUUCUUUUAUUGUAAUUUUCAAGUUUAUUUAAUUUUCUUUUUCUUUUUAUAUUUUCUUUUAUUUUUAUUUUGUAUUUUUAAAAUAAUGUGCAAUUGAUUAUAAUUACUUUUGUGAAUCACUUUUGUGCAUAAAUACAUUAUGUGUGAUAGUAAUUGAUUAUAACGUAUUUAAUCACAUUAUAUAUUAGCCGUUGGAUGCACGAAGACUGAUGAAGUAGGCAGGGGUAGAGAAAUCAGUCCACAUGGCAAAACCCGUCCACAUCAGUAAAAAAAAUGGAUUUUUAUGCACAAUCAGCUUUUUCGUCUAUUUUUUUGGACGAAAAUUGAAAUUAAUGACCAUUUUGUAAUAUUUAAGAGUAUAAUUAUUCGAUUGUAACAAAAAAUAUUUCGGUAACCACAAUAAAAAUCGGACCCUAGUAUAGUGACAAAAAAGUUAUUUAUUGUAAGAUCCCGAAUUUUAUGAAAUAAAAGUAUUCAAUUUUAUUACAAUUAUUAUUUUAUUUCGUAAAUGGUUAAAUUGAUAAAAAGUUAAAGUUACGGGUGAUAUGUGAAAUUUUUUUGCAAAGUAAGCAAGUUAUUAUAAAAUAUUCAUUUGGUCGGGGAAUAUUCGUACGACGACACAAUCAUUGGUGGACCCUACAACGGAAGUAUUGUUGUAGUUAGAAAACACCAGAAUUAUCUUUUUAUAAAAAUAACGGCGAAAGUGUUACCGUUAAAAUUGUUUAACUACUUGGUAGUAAAAGUACAGUUAUACGCGUGAUUGCAUAGUAGCACAUGGUAUUGAUUAUUGAUGCUUACGUAAGAAGUCACUCAGUUAUACUCAAUUAUUGGCAAAAAGCACUUUUACCCCACUGUGGUUAUAGUGUUUUAAGCAAUUAGUCACUGUGCUUUUAAAAUAUUCAAUUGACCCACUAUGCUUUUUUAAAAUGUACAAUCAAGUCAUUCCGUC
rnacentral:lncRNA from 1 species